CCAGUUUCCCUGCUGCACUCACACAUGUGACAUACUCAACUGGGUGCAACGCAUAUCAAACGUGACCCUCGUGGUGAGGCGGGUUAUUUAAAGUGUGGAUACCUUCCCCUGACCACCUGUAGCGCAUUUAGCACGUCACGAAGAAGCAGAAUUAAAAACAGCCCACUCAUGUUUUUUCGGGACAUAUUAGGAUUUUUUGGCGGUCGGGUCGGUAUCUGUUUGGCUCCCCGCUGCUGUCAUUCGAAGACUAAAAGUGGACUUCAAUCUGGCGUAUCCUGUUUUGUGUCCUUGGCUGCAGACCACGGCAGACAGGAUUUAUUCCCUGCUGAGAUGCCAGGUAUCGCGCUGCUUCGCUUCACCAGGCUACAGCAGAGCCUGCUGGACAGGAUCAACCAGACACCUCCCAGUGCUGAUAGCACUCUCCUCUGCCAGAAAGCAAAGUGAUGGCAGACAGGGAGACGCAUGCAAGCCUCCAAACAUGGCAGCUAUUCCAGAUAGAUAACAUUUCCCACUUUUCCACCGGAUAAUGACACAAAUAUAGGCAGUGUCCCUGAUUCUCAGAACAGAGCUGACCUGAUAUUUGUUUUUAAGGAAUGCCCUCGCUGAUUUUACUAACUUUUUAAUUUUCUACAUAGCUUUGGGUGAUUAUUAUCAUUACUGAUUGAUCUUCUGUCUGACCAAGAUUUUUCUAACCUUAAGAUUCUCAGUUUUAUGCUUGGAAAAAUGUAACAAUUAAUCAAUUAGCACACUAGUUGCCAAUCACAAUAUUGCCAUAGAAAACUGCAUAUGCUGUGAUAGAAGAUUUUAUGGUGCCUUUUCAUUGUUCUGCAGUUGAAUGACUUAUGAUAGGUGAUAUUAAAUCCAGUUAACAAUGAUUUAGAGAGUCUGAGAGAGUCAUUAGAGAGUCAUGGUCUGUAGACCAUGUGGUGGACCAUCGAUUAAUCUAGAAAAUAAUUUGUAGAUUAAUAAAUAAUGAAAGCAAUUGAUUUUAGUUGCAGCCCUCAAUGUAAUAUUUGUCAGAUUACAUUUUUCUUUGAUCCCAAACACCAAUAUUUAAGUUUAAAAUCUAAACCCUUUCAUCAAAGUUAAAUCUAAUUUUCAGAUCAAACACUAAAGCAUACAGGUAACAUAUAUCUGAAGUAAUAAGUAGAGUUUGAUAGUUUUAAUGCAGCAGAGAUUCAUGACCUUACCUUUCUGUGAUGAUGCUGUGGAUGCAGACAGAGACAGUGAUGGAGAGAAGAACACAGCAGAAUAUUUAUCUCCUGCUCCCCUUUAUCCCUCCUCUCUAUCACAAGGAGACUUAAAUAGAAACACACACACACACACACACACACACACACACACAAAUACACACACCACGAGAGGGGGUGGUCUCAGCAUAGCAGUGACUGUGAUGCUCAUGUUGUGUUGACAGAUCACCACGCUCUGCUUCUUUUAUAAUAAUGUGUGUGAACCUUCAUGUGUGCCAGGACAGGAUAAACACCAUCCUCAUCAACUUUCACUUCACCAGUUUUCAGUCAGUUGUUAAUCUGUUUUUCUUCCUUUUACAUGGGAGAACUAUUUAAAGCUCUAGGUAGGAUCAUCUCUACUCCUAGAUCAUGCUAACAGGCUGCCGCUGUGUAUACAGAAAGUUCAAGUUUUUAAGUUUCAAGUUUUUUUUUCUUCAAGUUGAAGCAAACUUCAAGCAGCCAUAACCAAACAGUUUGUCUCGUCACUGUUGAUGUUUUUCUGAGAUUUUCUUUGGCUACUGAGAGUGAUGUUGGAGACGUGCCUCAUCCCCCCUGAGACUGCAGGGCCCCCUUGGUCUGAUUAGGAUAAUAGCUGCAGACAAUGCUAAGCUGAGGUUUUAAGGCAGGAAUGCAGUUUCCAGUUUGCAUUUGGCUUAGAUCUCACAACUAAACAUAGACAAAUAGCAGCAGCAUGUGAUGCUGCCAGUCUUUGAUAGUGGCCUGAAUAUGUGUGCACGCUUUGUAUUGGGGUUCGUUUGAGUUUGUGUGUGCACAGUAAAAUGUAAACACAUGCGUGUGGACACACGUCUAAGUGCUCAGUCCACUUAUACAAGGACAAUAAAUCCUUUAAGUUAAUCCAUGAAAUUACUUGUGUCUGGCUUGUGUUUGUGUUACAGAUUUAGUUGUCUUCAGUUUGUGCAGCAGUGGCAUAAACUUAGAAGUCAAGUUUGAAAGUCAGUGAUAUACAUAGUAAUACUUCUUAAUGACACAACAACUUUGAUCUCAAGCAACCAAAGCAGUUGCUCGACUGAAUGACUGACAGGCACUGACAUCCAUAGAACUGUGGAUUUUUGCUACUUUCACCACCUAUUAUUAUUAUUAUUAUUAUUAUUAUUAUUAUUGUUCUUAACAAGGAUUUCACCAUUUACAAUUCUCUACAAUUGAGAAUACCUAAUAUUUUACCAGAAACUCACUAGAUUUGUUAUUUGGCUUCCUUAAUAAAAAAAAUAAAGUAAAAAAACAGGAUCUUUAAAAAUGGGCAAAUUCAGUGACACACUUCAGACUGGCAAACGUCUGUGUCUAUAAUGUGUAUUGGUGUACUCAUUGAGUGCUCAUCCUCAUGUGCACUCUACUUUUGCAAGUGGCAAGGUGCUUUGUUGCUGAAUUCUCAACACUCCAGUGUGGUUUAAACCCUUGAGGUUGUAGUGUAGCUGUUUUGUGUUACUAAUUUUCAGUGUCAUUUGAGAUGUUGAAUUUGUUUCUCUGUGACCUGUUUAGUGCUAAAGCUAGCCAUUUUGCUAGCUGUCUGACAGAGCAUUCACACCAAAGCAAGGUUGCUUCACACCAAAGCAAGGUUGUUGCACACUAUGCAAUAUUUUUUUUCAGGUUGUGCAUUAAACAACCCUGUCUGCUAGAAGUUAAGUUCACACACCACUGAACUGUUUCCCCGAUUAGGUUGUGGUGACACUGUAAUCACUGGCAGGAUUAUGUUCAGAGACAACAUUUUUUUUUUACAUCUUCAAAGGCCAACUUCACUGUCCUGAACCUUUGCUUGGAAGUGUCCUUUGCUCUUCAGCUAUUUGCGUAAUGAGAGUAGAGCAGCUUAAAUGCUAUUUGAUUAUACAAGUCUGUGAAAGAUAUUCCCUCACUUGGUUUUUGAUAAUGGUGUGGGAUGCUAUCUGACAGGUGCAUCAUUCUGAAAUCUCCCAUAGAUGUUUGACUGGGUGGAAACCUGGUGGCAGAGAAGAUGAUUCACAUCAUGUCUAUACUCAUCAAAACAUCUAAUUUACAUCUACUCAUCUACAUCUGUUUUGUGGUUUUACUCUAAACCCAUGUGUAUAUUACUAGAAUAUUAUUAAAGCAGUAUCUCAAUUCUAUUCUUCUAUCUAAUAAACACAUUAAUUAUAUCAUGAGACUGUAAUAAAUAGCAGGGCUUGUGUCUGCCAGUGGACGCUGUAGCAUCUCCUGCUGACAGUGGACACAAUGAGCAGCGGGUAGUUCAGUGGGAUAACUAACAAGCUGUCAGCCUCAUGAGACCACAGCGACUGUGAGGUGUGCUGGCGCUAUGACCUGCUGGGCCACCAACCCUGCUAUUUAUUACAGUCUCAUAUUUAUAGAGUCACUGUGCAUUGUUAAAGCUCACAUCAAGAGUGGGACACUACCUGGGAAAUACUGCUGGUGAAGAAUCAGUCUCUGUAGUGAAAUGAAUCUGUGGAUGUCGAAGAUAAUUGCAUUUGCACUCUCUGUAGUCCAUAUAAUCUUAUUCUUUUUUUUAUUACUAGUAGAGUUAGAUUGUUAAAAUUUGCAGGACUGUUCUUCUGCUCUCGCUGAGUCAGGACUUUAAACUCCCUGAUGCUGAUUUGCUUUACAACCCUGAGAUCCAGGCUGUUGGCUCAUGGCAGCUGAUUAUAAUUCCACGGUAUAUAUGGCAGCAGGAUUAACAAAGUGCUCUGAGUGUUUGCUGGACUGUCUCUAGGAAACGGAGCACUGACUCAUAUAUACAGAUGCCAGGGGAUUAUAUAGCAGUUUGCAGUACAGUAGUGUUUAUAGUGUUAUAUGUAAGUGUGUUUCCCAGCAGAAGAUUUUUAAAUGUGUACUUCAGUUGUGUCAUGCAAGUAUUACUCACAUGUGUAACACACAAUGUAUAUAUGUCCAAUACCAGAAAGAUUUCAUUUAAUUUUGCAUUUAAAAAGUUUGAUCAAAUGGAACUGACUAUUGCCUAAACCCGCUCCCUGUCGCUACUGUAGUUACACGUGUCAAGGUUCCCAUCCUAAAUUCACCACUUGAAAUUCGUAGCAGUUUUUGACGCAUUGUGUCCUUGAUUUCAGACAGGUACACAACAGCAGGCUUCUCAUAGAGAUACUGUAGGAUACCUGGUAUGCAGGGCAGUAUGUCAUCAUGCUGGUCUCUGACUCUGUAGACACACUGACUCUGCAGACACCACAGGUACCCCAUAUGGAUUAGAUUGUCUGAUUAAAUUUUGGAGCUUCUGUCUGCAUACAUUUGCAUAUUAACAAGGGAAAAUUGAUUUUCAGGAAAUUGCAGUAACUUCUUAACACUGUGAGGUAACAAGUUCAAAAUGAUGAUACAGGCAUGUUUUCUUGGUCUUUGAGGUUGCUGUAGUGAAAAACAUCCCUAAAUUCAAUAAUGGCAAGUCAGAGCUGCUAAAGUUAGCAUCAUCUCUGACAUAGAAGCAUCCAGGACAUGUUUUCACAUAGUGGAGAAAUAUAAGAAAAUAUAAUAAAAUCAGUCUGAUGCCCCCUGGUGGUUAAAGGACUUAAAGGUCUUACAGUCAUCUGUCCAUAGUGUUUUCAAAUAAAUAGCAGGACAUUUAGUGCAAACAUUAUAUCCACUUGAAUGUCUACAAGGUCAGGAGAUGAAACAUGAUUUUGUUCACCUUAUUUAUCGUCAGUCUAAGCACUUGGAAUCUCUGGAACAGAUCCCACGUCUUUAGUGUAAUACUUUUCAUCUUCGCUUGGAUUUCAUAUCUAGUUGCUGUUGAUGUGACUCACAUGUUACAAUCAGCACCAAAGCAAACAGCUUCCCCCUCCACCUCCUCCACCACCACCACCACAGCUGCCUGGCACUCUGGUCAGCGUGCCAACUCCUAGGCUCAGGCAGAGAUGGGGCUGAACACUGCGCCUCCGUUGUUCACCACAACAUCUGGCAUUUUGCUCUGUGUGAUGUUGAUUGGAAAGAAUAACAAACACACCCACGAACACAUAAACGCACACAAAACUGAUUUCAUCACAUCAGAAGAGAAAAAAAAACAAUGGCAGUUGUGUAAAGCAUGCCACAUUUUGCAUCACAGGGAAGGAGAGAAAAAUUCCAUAGCUUUUGUUGCCUGAUAUUUAUUUUGUGUCUCAGCAAUAAUGCAUAUUGUAAUAUAUAUGUAAGGCAGUUAGGAUGGAGUUAUCUUGACUGGAAGUGAAGCAGGGUAUAAGGCUAUUUUCUCAAAGCAGUCUUGAAACAAGUUGAUCUUAUUUUGUCCCCACUCAUAGACAUGGACUGUGUCCAAUGUUAUUCAAACUCAACAUUUGCUUAAUUCUGUUGUCACAGUGUGAGUGUCUCUUUGUAUUGCAACCAUAGAGUUUAUUUUGUUUUGUCUUUUAUUCUUUUCUUCUAAAAUGGAGCAGACUUGAGUUGCUGUUAACUGCUCUGUUUAAAGAUGCACAAUAUGCACAUUCAAACAGUUAGAUUUGGAUAGCAUUAAAUUUCAGUGUUUUAAAUGUUAAGCAUUAAAUCUUUUUUAACCUUGAAACUUAAGCACUAGAUUCAAAUGCAACAUAGAGCAGAAUCUACUUGUUGAACACGUACAAAAAGCUGUGUGUUGUGUGCUUCUGUUGUUCCUUGUUGCCUGUAGCUGGAGUGAAAGGGCAGAGUAAAAUAA